GGAAACCUUGUUACGACUUCUCCUUCCUCUAAGUGAUAAGGUUCACUAAACUUCCUGAAAUCUCAUCCAGAAUCUGGACGUGACCUCAGUCCGGAUUAUUCACCGGAUCACUCAAUCGGUAGGAGCGAC
rnacentral:rRNA from 1 species